rnacentral:rRNA from 1 species
GGGGUUGCGCAGCUACACAUGCAAGUCGAGCGGUAGCACAGAGAGCUUGCUCUCGGGUGACGAGCGGCGGACGGGUGAGUAAUGUCUGGGAAACUGCCUGAUGGAGGGGGAUAACUACUGGAAACGGUAGCUAAUACCGCAUAACGUCGCAAGACCAAAGUGGGGGACCUUCGGGCCUCAUGCCAUCAGAUGUGCCCAGAUGGGAUUAGCUAGUAGGUGGGGUAACGGCUCACCUAGGCGACGAUCCCUAGCUGGUCUGAGAGGAUGACCAGCCACACUGGAACUGAGACACGGUCCAGACUCCUACGGGAGGCAGCAGUGGGGAAUAUUGCACAAUGGGCGCAAGCCUGAUGCAGCCAUGCCGCGUGUAUGAAGAAGGCCUUCGGGUUGUAAAGUACUUUCAGCGGGGAGGAAGGCGAUAAGGUUAAUAACCUUGUCGAUUGACGUUACCCGCAGAAGAAGCACCGGCUAACUCCGUGCCAGCAGCCGCGGUAAUACGGAGGGUGCAAGCGUUAAUCGGAAUUACUGGGCGUAAAGCGCACGCAGGCGGUCUGUCAAGUCGGAUGUGAAAUCCCCGGGCUCAACCUGGGAACUGCAUUCGAAACUGGCAGGCUAGAGUCUUGUAGAGGGGGGUAGAAUUCCAGGUGUAGCGGUGAAAUGCGUAGAGAUCUGGAGGAAUACCGGUGGCGAAGGCGGCCCCCUGGACAAAGACUGACGCUCAGGUGCGAAAGCGUGGGGAGCAAACAGGAUUAGAUACCCUGGUAGUCCACGCCGUAAACGAUGUCGAUUUGGAGGUUGUGCCCUUGAGGCGUGGCUUCCGGAGCUAACGCGUUAAAUCGACCGCCUGGGGAGUACGGCCGCAAGGUUAAAACUCAAAUGAAUUGACGGGGGCCCGCACAAGCGGUGGAGCAUGUGGUUUAAUUCGAUGCAACGCGAAGAACCUUACCUGGUCUUGACAUCCACAGAACUUAGCAGAGAUGCUUUGGUGCCUUCGGGAACUGUGAGACAGGUGCUGCAUGGCUGUCGUCAGCUCGUGUUGUGAAAUGUUGGGUUAAGUCCCGCAACGAGCGCAACCCUUAUCCUUUGUUGCCAGCGGUUAGGCCGGGAACUCAAAGGAGACUGCCAGUGAUAAACUGGAGGAAGGUGGGGAUGACGUCAAGUCAUCAUGGCCCUUACGACCAGGGCUACACACGUGCUACAAUGGCAUAUACAAAGAGAAGCGACCUCGCGAGAGCAAGCGGACCUCAUAAAGUAUGUCGUAGUCCGGAUUGGAGUCUGCAACUCGACUCCAUGAAGUCGGAAUCGCUAGUAAUCGUAGAUCAGAAUGCUACGGUGAAUACGUUCCCGGGCCUUGUACACACCGCCCGUCACACCAUGGGAGUGGGUUGCAAAAGAAGUAGGUAGCUUAACCUUCGGGAGGGCGCUACCACUUUUGAUCAUUGCG